rnacentral:lncRNA from 1 species
GGGAAAGAAAGUUUGAAACAAUCUUUUUUAUUCUCUGUGGCUGCUUCAUAAAACCAACUUCCUCUGCUCAGCAAUUUGUUGCCUUAUUCUAUAAAUGCAAAUGAAAGUCAAUUAGAUCUUUAAAUUUGUUAUAACUUUGUCUUUUGGCAAUUGUGCUAAACACUUGGUUGAUAGCUUUGCCUUUAGGAGGCAGAGCCUAUUUAUUUGGAGACAGGCCUUUGAAGGGUAUAUUUUGUCCCUGGCCCCUUUCUCCCUCUCUUGGCCACCACUAAGGUGAGCAGCUAUGCUGUAUCACACAUCCCUCAUCAUCAUAAUCUGCCUCACCACAGGCCCAAACACAAGGAAGUGGACAGGGACUAACAUCUCUGAAACUGUGAGCCAAAGUAAGUAAUGGAAAGUUGACUAAUUCAAUCAUUAUAAGAACCCUGUGAGAGAUGCUGUCUUGUUUUUUCCUGAUAAGGAAAAUGGUAAUAACUUUCCCAAGGUUGUAUAAUUAAUGAAAGCAGACUGAGACUAGGACUAAAGUCUUCUGACCCCAGUGUCAUUACUUCUUCCUUUUCAUUGUGUUUCAAUCCACAAUUGCUAAAUAUCCAUGCCCUGCUGGCUUCUGAGAAG